rnacentral:rRNA from 1 species
AUUGAACGCUGGCGGCAUGCUUUACACAUGCAAGUCGAACGGUAACAGGCCUUCGGGUGCUGCCGAGUGGCGAACGGGUGCGUAAUGCAUCGGAACGUGCCCAGAGGUGGGGGAUAACGCAGCGAAAGCUGUGCUAAUACCGCAUGUGAUCUGAGGAUGAAAGCGGGGGACCAGGCAGCAAUGUUUGGCCUCGCGCCUUUGGAGCGGCCGAUGUCAGAUUAGGUAGUUGGUGGGGUAAAGGCCUACCAAGCCGACGAUCUGUAGCUGGUCUGAGAGGACGACCAGCCACACUGGGACUGAGACACGGCCCAGACUCCUACGGGAGGCAGCAGUGGGGAAUUUUGGACAAUGGGCGCAAGCCUGAUCCAGCAAUGCCGCGUGCGGGAAGAAGGCCUUCGGGUUGUAAACCGCUUUUGUACGGAACGAAAAGGCUCUGGCUAAUACCUGGGGCUGAUGACGGUACCGAAAGAAUAAGCACCGGCUAACUACGUG